AACGAGGCCGACCUGCGGCUGAGUUACCUGCGGAGGGAUCAUUACCGAGUUUACAACUCCCAAACCCCUGUGAACAUACCACUUGUUGCCUCGGCGGAUCAGCCCGCUCCCGGUAAAACGGGACGGCCCGCCAGAGGACCCCUAAACUCUGUUUCUAUAUGUAACUUCUGAGUAAAACCAUAAAUAAAUCAAAACUUUCAACAACGGAUCU
rnacentral:misc_RNA from 1 species